CUACGCGAGACUAGUUCUACGAAAGUUGCGAGAACUUUCCACAGGAGGGUCGACUAUCUAGUUUUCGUUGUUGGCGGAGAGAAGUCAUUGAAAGAUGUACGGUCAUAAGCGUCCUCCUGUUCCUGGAUCCAACUGCUACAACAGAAGAAGCACAAUCACAGUGACGGUGACAUUGUUUUCAGUGAUGGUUGUAUUGUCGGUCCAUCAGAUUUCUUCUUCAGUUCUGAAUCAGUGAUGUUACUUUUCCACACUCCUCUGUUUUCUGAUGUUGUAUAUCAACCUGUUUUGCAUGUGUUGAGUAAAGUGAAAUACAGUUAUAAUAUGAAAAUAUCACAAACUCGACCUCAUUUGAACUGAUGACUAUAAGAUAUUCCUAGAGGGCCAGCUGCGAAAAUGUUGAACAUGGACACGUGACUAACUGGUGACGUCAUUACCGAACCUGACAGACCGCGCCUGUACCUGAACCAGCAUAUGCAGGCAAGAAAAUGAAGACAAGAACUAUACUAAUCAGCAUGCAGCUAUGCGCAUGCAUGCAGAUAUGAGUGUGUAUACAGAGAUGCAAUACAAGAGUGAUCAGUGGGAAAAUGUCUAAGUUAAAUUGACUCAUCAACGGUGUAAAAAAUUUUAGCUUUGUUAUCGUCUUGCGACUAGAAGAUAUCGAUCGGUGAUAAUAUUUCAUUGAAACUUUUGUACCACUUCUCAUGUUUCUCACUUUGUGGCAUUAUCAGUAUCCUGGUAGAAGCGUUCCUGAAAGUAUACGCGUCCAACCAAACUUGGCGUUGCAGAGUAAUGUAGUUUUUUAGUUAAAGUGUGAGGGAAUAGUCUAGCUCUAACUGAAGUUCCGAGACUAUACGAAUAUUAUACUCUAGCGAAUUUAGUGUAAAAUGCAAACGUUCUAGUCCGCUGUCAAGCGACUUUCCA